GAAAAGUUGCUAAAGAAAGAGAAAGGGAAGCGGUUUGCUCCAGUAUUCCUCUUUCCACCUUCCCACUGACUGGGAAGCGGCGGUUAGCAGAGCCACAGUCUUGGAUUAGAGAUAAGAGGGACAUGUUGAGGAAGGUGGAGUCUCCCCCACAGCCCUGGACCAGGCUCCAGUGCCAACAAAAGCCAAGAAGAACCUCUGGAGCAAUCAGUCUUACGGAAUCCCUGUAUUCUAGGAUUUGGCAAGCUGUCCACUGAAACAUUAUUUUUCCCAGCCUUCUUUGCAGAGGUG
rnacentral:lncRNA from 1 species